rnacentral:rRNA from 1 species
UACGUAGGGUGCGAGCGUUGUCCGGAAUUACUGGGCGUAAAGAGCUCGUAGGUGGUUUGUCGCGUUGUUCGUGAAAACUCACAACUCAAUUGUGGGCGUGCGGGCGAUACGGGCAGACUGGAGUACUGCAGGGGAGACUGGAAUUCCUGGUGUAGCGGUGGAAUGCGCAGAUAUCAGGAGGAACACCGGUGGCGAAGGCGGGUCUCUGGGCAGUAGCUGACGCUGAGGAGCGAAAGCGUGGGGAGCGAACAGG